rnacentral:tRNA from 1 species
GCGGAUGUGGCGGAACUGGCAGACGCGCUAGAUUUAGGCUCUAGUGGGAGACCGUGCAGGUUCGACUCCUGUCAUCCGCACCA